rnacentral:lncRNA from 1 species
GGAUCUGCCCUAAGCCCACAACCAAACAAGGAACAGGAAAUAAGGCGGAAACCACAUAUCCCACAAUCUAUCGAGUAUUCUUCAUACGUAACCCUGAUGCAUAAACUAAAGAGUUAUAGAACUAACUAUGAAUGUUUGUUAUUAUAUCCGGUUGUAGUAUAUAAAACAUAUUAGUUUGUAUGCUUGGUUACUACUAGAUGUAUUGUAUGAUGAAUUCUGUAUGAAAACCUAUGUGUGGAAUGCUCUGUUUGAAAACCCUGACUACCACCGGUAUGUAUAGUAGUUUUAUUAUUUAAAUAAAGUCGUGUAUGGUAUUCCUAAAAUCCCCAAAUGUAAUGUAUAAUAGUUCUAUUAAUUAAAAUAAAACUAAUGAAGAAUGAAUUCUCAUAAACAAAGUAUAGUUUAUACUUAUUGUGAGUCGUAUAACCAUGCUUGAUAUGACCUAGUGACAUUUACGACGUUCUUCAAGUGUCGGUAAAAUGAGAUUUGUCACCUCAGGCAUGCCUACCUAAACUGUAGCUAGCAGUUUAGGUGUGGGAUUGUUGAUCCUGAAUAAAUCUAUUCACAAAUCUCAUGCUCUCCCUCCAGGAGACUCUGGUUGUACUAUGAUAGGAACGUCAAAUUCAUGACAACCUAUGCCUUCACUCUACGACCUGCAUACUCCUUUUGGCUAGGGGCAUCCGCUACCACAUUGGCUUUGCUAGGAUGGUAACGUAUUUCACACUCAUAAUCACUGAGCAGCUCUACCCAUCGUUACUGCCUCAUGUUCAACUCUUUCUGGUCAAAGAUAUGUUGUAGGCUCUUAUGGUUAGUGAAGACAGUGCACUUGGUCCCGUAGAGAUAAUGUCUCUAGAUCUUUAACGCGAAGACCACUGCUCCCAACUCUAGAUCGUGAGUUGUGUAAUUGACUUCGUGUGUUUUCAGCUAGCUCGAGGCAUAGGCAAUAACCUUUCCUCGCUGCAUGAGCAUACAACCUGUGUCAGGGUGGUUAAAGGCUUAGCGAUUUUGGAGAAGUUCUGGAUAAACCUGCGAUAAUAGCUAGCGAGACCCAAGAAUUGACGGACUUCUAUGGGCAUCUUUGGUGCUGACCAAUUCUCAAUCGAUGUGAUCUUGGAAGGCUCCACAUGUAUGCCUUCCUCGCUAACCACGUGACCAAGGAAGGUUACUUUUCUGAUCCAGAAUUCGCAUUUUAAAAGCUUUGCAUAUAGUUUCUCUGCGCUUAGUGUUUCUAACACUAGUCUCAAGUGCUGUCUAUGAUCUUCCUCGCUCAGAGAGUAGACAAGUAUAUCAUCAAUGAACAUGAUUACAAACUUGUCGAGGGAACGGCGGCACACCCCCAAACCGGAAUGGCAGAAACGUUCGGGGGUGGAUGACGUCAUGCGUAGUAUCACAACAAUUGUAUCAUAACAAUCAUAGUAAACACAACCAUUACAUUGAAUACACAUAUGAAAAAGCUUUACAUUUGUUUAAUGCUUGUUUUUAUACAUCAAAAGUAUAAUCAAAAGAAAAAUACAUAAUUUUACACACUCCAUCUUCCCAAAACUCCAGAAGGUACCUGUCUACUGAUUUCCUGAAAAUACAAGCAGUUUUGAAAGAGUAUCAACAUAAAGUUGGUGAGUUCAUAAGCGAUGUUUUUGUAAUGAAAAGCUGUUAAUGACUCUGUAAAAAUGUUCACACGUUUUCCAAGAAAAUCCAAUAUUUUCUUUAGUAAAAGUAUGGUAAUACCAGUUCCUUCUAUAACCACUUAGUUCAUGCUAGUCACGUAUAAACCAAUAUCGAACAGACAGUUAGUUAUAUGGAUCUGCCCUAAUCCCACAACCAAACAAGGAACAAAAAAUAAGGUGGAAACCACAUAUCCCAUAAUCUAUCGAGUAUUCUUCAUACGUAACCCUAAUGCAUAAAAUAAAGAGUUUUAGAACUAACUAAGAAUGUUUGUUAUUAUAUCCGGUUGUAGUAUAUAAAACAUAUUAGUUUGUAUGCUUGGUUACUACUAGAUGUAUUGUAUGAUGAAUUCUGUAUGAAAACCUCUGUGUGGAAUGUUCUGUUUGAAAACUCUGACUACCACCACUAUGUAUAGUAGUUUUAUUAUUUAAAUAAAACCGUGUAUUUUAUUUCUAAAAUCCCCAAAUGUAAUGUAUAAUAGUUCUAUUAAUUAAAAUAAAACUAAUGAAGAAUGAAUUCUCAUAAACAAAGGUUAGUUUAUACUUAUUGUGAGUCGUAUAACCAUGCUUGAUAUGACCUAGUGACCUUUACGACGUUCUUCAAGUGUCGGU